rnacentral:rRNA from 1 species
GAUGAACGCUGGCGGCGUGCCUAAUACAUGCAAGUCGAGCGAACAGAUAAGGAGCUUGCUCCUUUGACGUUAGCGGCGGACGGGUGAGUAACACGUGGGCAACCUACCUAUAAGACUGGAAUAACUCCGGGAAACCGGGGCUAAUGCCGGAUAACAUUUAGAACCGCAUGGUUCUAAAGUGAAAGAUGGUUUUACUAUCACUUAUAGAUGGACCCGCGCCGUAUUAGCUAGUUGGUAAGGUAACGGCUUACCAAGGCAACGAUUCGUAGCCGACCUGAGAGGGUGAUCGGCCGCCCUGGAACUGAGACACGGUCCAGGCUCCUACGGGAGGCAGCAGUAGGGAAUCUGCCGCAAUGGGCGAAAGCCUGGCGGAGCAACGCCACGUGAGUGAUGAAGGUCUUCGGAUCGUAAAACUCUGUUAUUAGGGAAGAACCAAUGUGUAAGUAACUGUGCACGUCUUGACGGUACCUAAUCAGAAAGCCACGGCUAACUACGUG